rnacentral:rRNA from 1 species
AUGAACGCUGGCGGCGUGCUUAACACAUGCAAGUCGAACGGUGAACCAGGUGCUUGCACUUGGGGAUCAGUGGCGAACGGGUGAGUAACACGUGAGCAACCUGCCCCUGACUCUGGGAUAAGCGCUGGAAACGGCGUCUAAUACUGGAUACGAACCAGAAUCGCAUGGUUACUGGUUGGAAAGAUUUUUUGGUUGGGGAUGGGCUCGCGGCCUAUCAGCUUGUUGGUGAGGUAAUGGCUCACCAAGGCGUCGACGGGUAGCCGGCCUGAGAGGGUGACCGGCCACACUGGGACUGAGACACGGCCCAGACUCCUACGGGAGGCAGCAGUGGGGAAUAUUGCACAAUGGGCGGAAGCCUGAUGCAGCAACGCCGCGUGAGGGAUGACGGCCUUCGGGUUGUAAACCUCUUUUAGCAGGGAAGAAGCGAAAGUGACGGUACCUGCAGAAAAAGCGCCGGCUAACUACGUGCCAGCAGCCGCGGUAAUACGUAGGGCGCAAGCGUUAUCCGGAAUUAUUGGGCGUAAAGAGCUCGUAGGCGGUUUGUCGCGUCUGCUGUGAAAUCCCGAGGCUCAACCUCGGGCCUGCAGUGGGUACGGGCAGACUAGAGUGCGGUAGGGGAGAUUGGAAUUCCUGGUGUAGCGGUGGAAUGCGCAGAUAUCAGGAGGAACACCGAUGGCGAAGGCAGAUCUCUGGGCCGUAACUGACGCUGAGGAGCGAAAGGGUGGGGAGCAAACAGGCUUAGAUACCCUGGUAGUCCACCCCGUAAACGUUGGGAACUAGUUG